rnacentral:rRNA from 1 species
UGCAGAGGUCCCAAGCGUUGUUCGGAUUCAUUGGGCGUAAAGGGUGUGUAGGUGGCGCGCUAAGUCGGGUGUGAAAUUUCGGAGCUUAACUCCGAAACUGCAUUCGAUACUGGCGUGCUUGAGGACUGGAGAGGAGACUGGAAUUCAUGGUGUAGCAGUGAAAUGCGUAGAGAUCAUGAGGAAGACCAGUGGCGAAGGCGGGUCUCUGGACAGUUCCUGACACUGAGACACGAAGGCCAGGGGAGCAAACGGG